rnacentral:rRNA from 1 species
CCUACGGGGGGCUGCAGUGAGGAAUAUUGGUCAAUGGACGAGAGUCUGAACCAGCCAAGUAGCGUGAAGGAUGACUGCCCUAUGGGUUUUAAACUUCUUUUAUAUGGGAGUAAUAUGUUCCACGUGUGGAGUUUUGUAUGUACCAUAUGAAUAAGGAUCGGCUAACUCCGUGCCAGCAGCCGCGGUAAUACGGAGGAUCCGAGCGUUAUCCGGAUUUAUUGGUUUUAAAGGGAGCGUAGGUGGAGUGUUAAGUCUGUUGUGAAAGUUUGCGGCUUAACCGGAAAAUUGCAUUUGAAACUGGCAGUCUUGAGUACAGUAGAGGUGGGCGGAAUUCGUGGUGUAGCGGUGAAAUGCAUAGAUAUAACGAAGAACGCCGAUAGCGAAGGCAGCUCACUGGACUGAAACUGACACUGAGGCACGAAAGUGUGGGUAUCAAACAGGAUUAGAUACCCUGGUAGUC